GCAUUGGCACUUCGCAACAGUCAGUUAGAACCUCGUCAGGUCUGGAAAGAAGCAGCGAUAAUAAUCAUACUGUGUGCCGAAGAGCGCUGGUGUUAG
rnacentral:SRP_RNA from 1 species